rnacentral:rRNA from 1 species
GAUCAUGGCUCAGGAUGAACGCUAGCUACAGGCUUAACACAUGCAAGUCGAGGGGCAGCAUUGGAGUAGCAAUACUCAGAUGGCGACCGGCGCACGGGUGAGUAACACGUAUCCAACCUGCCGCUUACUCGGGGAUAGCCUUUCGAAAGAAAGAUUAAUACCCGAUGGUAUAAAGAGUUCGCAUGUUCUCUUUAUUAAAGAAUUUCGGUAAGCGAUGGGGAUGCGUUCCAUUAGAUAGUUGGCGGGUAACGGCCCACCAAGUCUACGAUGGAUAGGGGUUCUGAGAGGAAGGUCCCCCACAUUGGAACUGAGACACGGUCCAAACUCCUACGGGAGGCAGCAGUGAGGAAUAUUGGUCAAUGGACGCGAGUCUGAACCAGCCAAGUAGCGUGAAGGAUGACUGCCCUAUGGGUUGUAAACUUCUUUUAUAAGGGAAUAAAGUGAGGGACGUGUCCCUUUGUGUAUGUACCUUAUGAAUAAGGAUCGGCUAACUCCGUGCCAGCAGCUGC